GACAGAGGAUGCAAGCGUUAUCCGGAAUCACUGGGCUUAAAGCGUGUGUAGGCGGGUCGUUAAGUGCCUUGUGAAAUCCCAUGGCUCAACCAUGGAACUGCUGGGCAUACUGGCGAUCUUGUGCCACCUAGGGGCGAGCGGAACAGAUGGUGGAGCGGUGAAAUGCGUAGAUAUCGCUUGGAACGCCGAAGGUGAAAACAGGCUGCUGGGGUUGCGCCGACGCUGAGACACGAAAGCCAGGGGAGCAAACGGG
rnacentral:rRNA from 1 species